UUCCAAACUUAUCUCAGAUGAUCUUCUUAUAAAGCAUUGAAGUUUACAUAGGCAAACUGCUUUGUAUUUGGCUAACUCCUGGACUAUGCAAGCACAAGAUGAGAUUUCAGAAGGUUUGGAAGAGAGUCUUCUGAGAGGCUGAGGGCUGAGAAGACCACCCUGUGCAGGAAAGAUGUUGGCGGGCAAGCCCAGCUGGAAUGGAGAGACCUCGAUGAAACACAUAUUGGAGGCCUUAAUCAAGAGGAUCCUUGAAACCUAUCCACCUGACAGUUGGAGGACAGUUCCAUACCCUUAGAGGUGAGAACUUUUCAUGUUAUUUGAUUUCAUUUGAUUAAAUGAGUUGAUCUUUCCCUUUAGUGUUGAGGUGGUCAUAUUUCAUUACACCAACUGGC
rnacentral:lncRNA from 1 species